CCUCAAAUCAGGUAGGACUACCCGCUGAACUUAAGCAUAUCAAUAAGCGGAGGAAAAGAAACUAACAAGGAUUCCCCUAGUAACUGCGAGUGGAGCGGGAAAAGCUCAAAUUUAAAAUCUGGUGGUCUCCGGCCAUCCGAGUUGUAAUCUAGAGAAGUGUUACCCGCGUCGGACCGUGUACAAGUCUCCUGGAAUGGAGCGUCAUAGAGGGUGAGAAUCCCGUCUUUGACACGGACCCCCGAGGCUUUGUGGUGCGCUCUCAAGGAGUCGAGUUGUUUGGGAAUGCAGCUCAAAAUGGGUGGUAAAUUCCAUCUAAAGCUAAAUAUUGGCGAGAGACCGAUAGCGAACAAGUACCGUGAGGGAAAGAUGAAAAGAACUUUGGAAAGAGAGUUAAACAGUACGUGAAAUUGCUGAAAGGGAAACGCUUGAAGUCAGUCGCGUCGGCCGGAAAUCAGCCUUGCUCUUGCUUGGUGUACUUUCUGGUUGACGGGCCAGCAUCAGUUUUGACCGGUGGAUAAAGUUGUGAGGAAUGUGGCAUCUUCGGGUGUGUUAUAGCCUCGCUUCGUAUACAUCGGUUGGGACUGAGGAACUCAGCACGCCGAAAGGCCGGGGUUCGCCCACGUUCGUGCUUAGGAUGUUGGCAU
rnacentral:rRNA from 1 species